UUUGCAAAGCUACAAAGUUUAAACUUUCAAGCGGCGAUCUCCUUUCAAUCUAGAUACGCCGCGACGAAAUAUGAAAUGGUGAAGUACUGCGUAGCAUUUGGCUGCACAAACGCGCAGGAGAAUUCGAAGAAUCUGCACUUUUACCGGAUCUCAAAAGAGAAGGAGCGAAGUUAAGAGCGUCUGGCUACCAUCUAACGGCUACCACUGAGCCAAGGACGAUGCUUCAGGAGGAAAGUCUCGCACUUACGCGUACAGGGGAGAGAAAAGCAACAAUCUUCUGUCACCCGAUUACGUGCCAUCCAUCUUUGGCAAUGUGAAGACCACAGAGAAACGAUGGGUGUAGUGCAGACCUUCAACAGACGCCAGCAAAUGAAGAAAUGCAUGUGGCAGACGGCGGCCGUUCCUGAUGCUCUGGCUGUAUUGCUCCCUCUUACAAAAUAGAAAUAAUUGCCAUUCUAAUAAAUAACAAAAUAUGAAAUAAUGGUUUAUACAGAUUAAAAAGUAAUUGAAUGGUAAAUACUGCAUUUUUAUGAUAGUUGCCAGUGGUGUAAAGUGGACCAAUUCAAAAUACUGUAUGGACCAGACAGCGGAGUUUUUAUGGUACCGUCCAAUGCAUUUCCUAUUCCAUGUCUGGCGACAAGCUUGAAAUUAAUCUUCGUGUGGGCACUGUAUAUGAAAAUUUAACUCACCUUACUGAUGACGAUGUAAACAUCUGACAUGCUUUUUUUGUGCGCCAAUAAAAUCUUGACGAAUCCUGCUAUGAAGUACCGUAAUUUCCCGAAUAUAAGGUGCACCCGUGUAUAAUGCGCACCCCAAAAUUACUUGUAAAAUCUAGGGGAAAUUAUUGUACCCGUUUAUAACGUGCACCCUAAUUUUAGCACCAAUAGAUAGAAGAAUACAAGAAAACAGAGCUCGUGUACUGAUACAGAAAUGUCAUUUUACUGACUGGUGAAACACAGCACAAGCAUAGCACAUUGGUAGUUCAAAACAUUACCAUAAACUGACAAUUUUUACGGUAAUAAUAUGAUUUGACAACUUCUCCAACUUACCAGAAUCUAGGAGAAAACAAAACAGAUGUGACUUUUCUUUUAAAGACUGCUGUAUAACUUGCUCGUUUCAUCAUGAUGAUUAAAUGUAUCUUCCAUGGAUUGAUACGGUAAAAUGAAAGUGAGAACGUAAGUCGGAAAUCCGUGAGAGCUCAUCGCUGUCAACACGACAGUAACAAUAGGAACUAUUGUUAUUUGGGUUUGAGUUUCCCGAGGGACAGAUAUAGUUGACGGACACAGAAAGUCUGUGUGCUUACGUUUGUUAUGGUCCGAGUUGCGGAGCUGCAAUAAACGUUGACUCAAAUGAUUUCAAGAAACUAAAUUCUGUGCUUUAUGAAGAGUGAAAAAAGCUGAAUUUAACACAGACGAAACCAUUCGGCCGAUUAGAGUGAAGUAUUACCGAAACAAAAUGGUGAAGUCACGUCCCGUAAUGGUCGACAACGGCUCGCCGCAUACGUUUCUUCAACACAACGUGGCCGUGUCAAUAAAAAAAAAAAUUGAUUUAUAUAUACAUAUCAUAAUAUAUAUACAUAUCAUAAUAUAUAUAUAUAUAUAUAUAUAUGUAAUAUAUAUAUAUUUCUGUCUCCAUCCAUGUACCCGUUUAUAAUGCGCACCAUGAUUUUACAAGUUGAUUUUGGGGAAAAAAGUGCGCGUUAUAUUCGGGAAAUUACGGUAUUUCUAUGCUUUAAGG